CCUACGGGAGGCAGCAGUAGGGAAUCUUUCACAAUGGGCGAAAGCCUGAUGGAGCAACGCCGCGUGCAGGAUGAAGGCCUUCGGGUUGUAAACUGCUUUUAUAAGCGAGAAAUAUGAUGGUAACUUAUGAAUAAGGAUCGGCCAACUACGUGCCAGCCGCCGCGGUCAUACGUAGGAUCCGAGCCUUAUCCGGAUUGACUGGGUGUAAAGAGUUGCGUAGGUGGCAUAAUAAGUAGCUAGUGAAAUCGGGUGGCUCAACCAUUCAGACUAUUAGCUAAACUGUUAAGUGGGAGACCGUUAGGGGUAAGUGGAAUUUCUAGUGUAGGAGUGAAAUGCGUAGAUAUUAGAAGGAACACCAAUGGCGUAGGCAGGUUGCUGGGACGGUUCUGACACUAAGGCACGAAAGCGUAGGGAGCAAACGGGAUUAGAUACCCCUGUAGUC
rnacentral:rRNA from 1 species